rnacentral:tRNA from 1 species
GGGGAUUUGGCUCAGUGGUAGAGCACUUGCCUAGGAAGCACAAAGUCCUGGGUUCGAUCCCCAGCCCUG